rnacentral:rRNA from 1 species
AUUGAACGCUGGCGGCAUGCCUUACACAUGCAAGUCGAACGGCAGCACGGGAGCAAUCCUGGUGGCGAGUGGCGAACGGGUGAGUAAUAUAUCGGAACGUGCCCAGUCGUGGGGGAUAACGUAGCGAAAGCUACGCUAAUACCGCAUACGAUCGAUGGAUGAAAGCGGGGGAUCGCAAGACCUCGCGCGAUUGGAGCGGCCGAUAUCAGAUUAGGGAGUUGGUGGGGUAAAGGCUCACCAAGCCGACGAUCUGUAGCUGGUCUGAGAGGACGACCAGCCACACUGGGACUGAGACACGGCCCAGACUCCGACGGGAGGCAGCAGUGGGGAAUUUUGGACAAUGGGCGCAAGCCUGAUCCAGCAAUGCCGCGUGCAGGAUGAAGGCCUUCGGGUUGUAAACUGCUUUUGUACGGAGCGAAAAGGCUUCCACUAAUACUGGGGGCUCAUGACGGUACCGUAAGAAUAAGCACCGGCUAACUACGCGCCAGCCGCCGCAGUAACAC